GAUGAACGCUGGCGGCAGGCCUAACACAUGCAAGUCGAGCGGCAGCGCGGGGCAACCUGGCGGCGAGCGGCGGACGGGUGAGGAAUUCGUCGGAAUCUGCCUUUUUGUGGGGGAUAACGUAGGGAAACUUACGCUAAUACCGCGUACGACCUACGGGUGAAAGUGGGGGACCGCAAGGCCUCACGCAGAAAGAUGAGCCGACGACCGAUUAGCUAGUUGGUAGGGUAAAGGCCUACCAAGGCGACGAUCGGUAGCUGGUCUGAGAGGAUGAUCAGCCACACUGGGACUGAGACACGGCCCAGACUCCUACGGGAGGCAGCAGUGGGGAAUAUUGGACAAUGGGCGCAAGCCUGAUCCAGCCAUGCCGCGUGUGUGAAGAAGGCCUUCGGGUUGUAAAGCACUUUUGUCCGGAAAGAAAUCUUCCAACUUAAUACGUUGGGAGGAUGACGGUACCGGAAGAAUAAGCACCGGCUAACUUCGUGCCAGCAGCCGCAGUAA
rnacentral:rRNA from 1 species